UAAAAGAGCAGUAGAAGCAACAAAGAAUGAACUUGAAUCAAUGCUGGCCUGUCAGGUUAAUGGAAUGCUUUCAAACUGGCACUGGCCAACGGAUCUCAUCUCUACCCUUGACUGGAGCUUGAGAAGUAUCACUAGAAGCUAAAAUGAUGAAAAUGAGGUUAUCAUACUUUGGACACAUAAUGAGAAGACAUGAAUAACUAGAAAAGACAAUAAUGCCGGGAAAAAUAGAAAAUGGAAAUGGACUGCCUUCAAGUCAUUCCCAACUUAUGGCGACCCUACGAAUAGGGUUUUCAUGGCAGUCUAUCUAGGGAUAACUGGGUUACCUUGCAUCCAGCUGCUAAAGCAUAACCUCCUCCAACCAGGACUACAGUCUCCCAGGGCAUUGUUUCCUCAAAGUCCUUCCAGGUGAUUAUUGGUCCUCCUGAGUUAACAUCGGUGGAAUUUGUAAUUUGUCAAAGUAAAAUGCACAAAGAAAGAUAAGCUUGCCAUGUUUCCAGAUAUCUUUGCAAAUUCAGGUUGGUGUGAAUUGUGUUGUUCAGAAAUAUUCACAAAGAAGCACAGAGUUCUAAAACUGGACCAAAAUGAACAAAGACAUCCUGCCUAAACUUUAUUUGUGCUUUAAACUCUUUAAACACACACACACACACACACAAAACCUUAUUAAAACUGGAGCUCAAAUGAAUCUGCAUACACUGAAGACAUCUAGAAAAAGUAGGUUCAGGUCAAAAGUUGUUUUACUUAACAGCCUGCAAAGACCAACAUUUUUAUCUUAAUGACAAUUCCUGUUCUGCUUUCAAUUGGUUGAAACAAACAUGUGCAAAUUCUGAUUAUGCCCAGUUGAAGCAAACCUGGAGAGUUAUGGGACAAGAAAGAAACAGUCCUUAAAUUGUGGAAUUCCUGUUAGCAAAAUCACGCAGACAGAGUCCAGAGAGAGCAGUCCUGAUAACACUUUAUUAAGCAAACUGAACAAAAGCAGUUCAUAAUUUGAGGUGAAAAAACAGAGAGGUUUUGUCUUUCAGUUCAGGUCUUGUACAAAGCAGGGAGGCAUACAACCAAACACACAGAGGAAAACUUCCCCAGAAUUACACAGCAAGUCAGAGCACAUGCUAACUCACUGAAAGAUCAUGUCACUGCUUGGUUGCUAAGCAACACCUCCAUUUGUCCUCCACUUAGCUAGUUGACUUUAAUACUAACAGAAUUAACCCUUAAGUUACAAAAUGAAUGAUCCGUGCUGUUAUACUUCUAACAAUUUCCUUCCCACAGAGGUGCAUCUGGCACCAACCAGAACCUGGUGAAAAAAAAGCCACAGGGAAACGAUGGUCCCCCUAUAAAAAGUAGUAAGUUAUGAAUCUGGUAGAAGACAUAACCUUCCUUUAUAGCAGCCUUCCCUAACCUGGUGCCCUCUAGGUGUUUGCCAGCCCAAGCUAGCACGGUCAAAUGAUGGAGCUAAUGGAAGCAUGAACAUCUCUGUUAUCUUUUCAGCGCCUAUUGAAGACCUUCCUUUUUCAACCAGCCUUUUAAGUUGAGACCUUAUCCCAGUCUGCAUCUGUGUUGGAAUUGCUUUUAAAUAUGUUUUUAAAAACUUAAAAGAAAAAAAACCCCAAUAUAUUUUAACCUUUUUUCUUUUUUUAAGACAUCUUCAAAGCUUUUUUAAAAAAUGUUUUCAAAGAUGUUUUGUUUUAAUGUAUUUUAAAGUCUGUUUUUAUGAUGUUUUAAAGUGUUUCUAGUGCUUUUGUGGGCUCCAGCUGGGAGGAAGGGCGGGAUAUAAAUCAAAUAAUAAAUAAACAAACAAACAUGCUGGCUGGGCUGAUGGGAGUUGUAGUCCAAAACAUCUAGAGGACCUCAGCUUAGAGAAGACCAGUUUACAGGAAUACCUGUUUUUCUCAGAGUUCAUAAGUGAACCUGAGUCUGAAUGGCUAUAGUUGCCCGCAAAUGGUCCAAACGGGAGCAAUAUGUGAACAAAAAAAUAUAUAAUCUGAAGCUCACUGUUGUAACUGAUUUUAUUGUGUGAACUCACUUGAAUGUCAUAUGAAUGUUUGAACUCACACGUAGAUACUUUGUGAGGCUGGGAACCAAUGGAAGCUA